GAACUGCGAUAAGUAAUGUGAAUUGCAGAAUUCAGUGAAUCAUCGAGUCUUUGAACGCACAUUGCGCCCCCUGGCAUUCCGGGGGGCAUGCCUGUCCGAGCGUCAUUGCUGCCCUUCAAGCCCGGCUUGUGUGUUGGGUCGUCGUCCCCUCCGGGGGACGGGCCCGAAAGGCAGCGGCGGCACCGCGUCCGGUCCUCGAGCGUAUGGGGCUUUGUCACCCGCUCGAUAAGGACCGGCCGGGCGCCAGCCGGCGUCUCCAACCUUUUUUUCUCAGGUUGACCUCGGAUCAGGUAGGUAUACCCGCUGAACUUAAGC
rnacentral:misc_RNA from 1 species